AACGAACGCUGGCGGCAGGCUUAACACAUGCAAGUCGAACGCCCCGCAAGGGGAGUGGCAGACGGGUGAGUAACACGUGGGGAUCUGCCCAAUGGUACGGAAUAAUUCCGGGGAACUGGGACUAAUACCGUAUGUGCCCGCAAGGGGAAAGAUUUAUCGCCAUUGGAUGAACCCGCGUCGGAUUAGCUAGUUGGUGAGGUAAAGGCUCACCAAGGCGACGAUCCGUAGCUGGUCUGAGAGGAUGAUCAGCCACACUGGGACUGAGACACGGCCCAGACUCCUACGGGAGGCAGCAGUGGGGAAUAUUGGACAAUGGGCGCAAGCCUGAUCCAGCCAUGCCGCGUGAGUGAUGAAGGCCUUAGGGUUGUAAAGCUCUUUCGCCGACGAAGAUAAUGACGGUAGUCGGAGAAGAAGCCCCGGCUAACUUCGUGCCAGCCGCCGCCGUAA
rnacentral:rRNA from 1 species